rnacentral:rRNA from 1 species
CUACGGGUGGCAGCAGUGGGGAAUAUUGCACAAUGGAGGCAACUCUGAUGCAGCCACGCCGCGUGGAGGAUGACACUUUUCGGAGCGUAAACUCCUUUUAUAUAGGAAGAAGAUGACGGUACUAUAUGAAUAAGCACCGGCUAACUCCGUGCCAGCAGCCGCGGUAAUACGGAGGGUGCAAGCGUUACUCGGAAUCACUGGGCGUAAAGAGCGUGUAGGCGGAUUAAAAAGUCAGAAGUGAAAUCCUAUAGCUUAACUAUAGAACUGCUUCUGAAACUCUUAAUCUAGAAUAUGGGAGAGGUAGAUGGAAUUUCUGGUGUAGGGGUAAAAUCCGUAGAGAUCAGAAGGAAUACCGAUUGCGAAGGCGAUCUACUAGAACAUUAUUGACGCUGAGACGCGAAAGCGUGGGGAGCAAACAGGAUUAGAUACCCCCGUAGUC